rnacentral:rRNA from 1 species
GACGAACGCUGGCGGCGUGCCUAAUACAUGCAAGUCGAACGCAGUGGGGACGGGUGAGUAACACGUGGGUAACCUCCCAUCAGAGGGGAUAACACUUGGAAACAGGUGCUAAACCGAUACUGAUGGAUGGACCCGCGGUGCAUUAGCUAGUUGGUGAGGUAACGGCUCACCAAGGCCACGAUGCAUAGCCGGCCUGAGGGGGUGAGCGGCGGCACUGGGACUGAGACACGGCCGAGAUGCCGACGGGAGGCAGCAGUAGGGAAUGUGCGGCAAUGGACGAAAGUCUGACCGAGCAACGCCGCGUGAGUGAAGAAGGUUUUCGGAUCGUAAAACUCUGUUAUUGGAGAAGCGGUAUCUAACCAGAAGGCCACGGCUAACUACGUGCCAGCAGCCGCGGUAAUUC